rnacentral:rRNA from 1 species
GAUGAACGCUGGCGGCGUGCCUAAUACAUGCAAGUCGAGCGAACGGACGAGAAGCUUGCUUCUCUGAUGUUAGCGGCGGACGGGUGAGUAACACGUGGAUAACCUACCUAUAAGACUGGGAUAACUUCGGGAAACCGGAGCUAAUACCGGAUAAUAUUUUGAACCGCAUGGUUCAAAAGUGAAAGACGGUCUUGCUGUCACUUAUAGAUGGAUCCGCGCUGCAUUAGCUAGUUGGUAAGGUAACGGCUUACCAAGGCAACGAUGCAUAGCCGACCUGAGAGGGUGAUCGGCCACACUGGAACUGAGACACGGUCCAGACUCCUACGGGAGGCAGCAGUAGGGAAUCUUCCGCAAUGGGCGAAAGCCUGACGGAGCAACGCCGCGUGAGUGAUGAAGGUCUUCGGAUCGUAAAACUCUGUUAUUAGGGAAGAACAUAUGUGUAAGUAACUGUGCACAUCUUGACGGUACCUAAUCAGAAAGCCACGGCUAACUACGUGCCAGCAGCCGCGGUAAUACGUAGGUGGCAAGCGUUAUCCGGAAUUAUUGGGCGUAAAGCGCGCGUAGGCGGUUUUUUAAGUCUGAUGUGAAAGCCCACGGCUCAACCGUGGAGGGUCAUUGGAAACUGGAAAACUCGAGUGCAGAAGAGGAAAGUGGAAUUCCAUGUGUAGCGGUGAAAUGCGCAGAGAUAUGGAGGAACACCAGUGGCGAAGGCGACUUUCUGGUCUGUAACUGACGCUGAUGUGCGAAAGCGUGGGGAUCAAACAGGAUUAGAUACCCUGGUAGUCCACGCCGUAAACGAUGAGUGCUAAGUGUUAGGGGGUUUCCUCCCCUUAGUGCUGCAGCUAACGCAUUAAGCACUCCGCCUGGGGAGUACGACCGCAAGGUUGAAACUCAAAGGAAUUGACGGGGACCCGCACAAGCGGUGGAGCAUGUGGUUUAAUUCGAAGCAACGCGAAGAACCUUACCAAAUCUUGACAUCCUUUGACAACUCUAGAGAUAGAGCCUUCCCCUUCGGGGGACAAAGUGACAGGUGGUGCAUGGUUGUCGUCAGCUCGUGUCGUGAGAUGUUGGGUUAAGUCCCGCAACGAGCGCAACCCUUAAGCUUAGUUGCCAUCAUUAAGUUGGGCACUCUAAGUUGACUGCCGGUGACAAACCGGAGGAAGGUGGGGAUGACGUCAAAUCAUCAUGCCCCUUAUGAUUUGGGCUACACACGUGCUACAAUGGACAAUACAAAGGGCAGCGAGACCGCGAGGUCAAGCAAAUCCCAUAAAGUUGUUCUCAGUUCGGAUUGUAGUCUGCAACUCGACUACAUGAAGCUGGAAUCGCUAGUAAUCGUAGAUCAGCAUGCUACGGUGAAUACGUUCCCGGGUCU